rnacentral:rRNA from 1 species
AUUGAACGCUGGCGGCAGGCCUAACACAUGCAAGUCGAACGAGUGGCGGACGGGUGAGUAAUGUCUGGGAAACUGCCUGAUGGAGGGGGCUAACGACUGGAAACGGUAGCUAAUACCGCAUACCAUCAGAUGUGCCCAGAUGGGAUUAGCUGGUUGGUGGGGUAACGGCUUACCAAGGCGACGAUCCCUAGCUGGUCUGAGAGGAUGACCGGCCCCACUGGAACUGAGACACGGUCCAGCGUCCUCCGGGAGGCAGCAGUGGGGAAUAUUGCACAAUGGGCGAAAGCCUGAUGCAGCCAUGCCGCGUGUAUGAAGAAGGCCUUCGGGUUGUAAAGUACUUUCAGCGGGGAGGCGUUACCCGCAGAAGAAGCACCGGCUAACUCCGUGCCAGCAGCCGCGGUAAUUC